UGCCUCAGUAACGGCGAGUGAAGCGGCAAGAGCUCAAAUUUGAAAGCUGGCUCCUUCGGGGUCCGCAUUGUAAUUUGCAGAGGAUGCUUCGGGUGCGGCCCCUGUCUAAGUGCCCUGGAACGGGCCGUCAGAGAGGGUGAGAAUCCCGUCUGGGAUGGGGUGUCCGCGCCCGUGUGAAGCUCCUUCGACGAGUCGAGUUGUUUGGGAAUGCAGCUCUAAAUGGGUGGUAAAUUUCAUCUAAAGCUAAAUACUGGCCGGAGACCGAUAGCGCACAAGUAGAGUGAUCGAAAGAUGAAAAGCACUUUGAAAAGAGAGUUAAAAAGCACGUGAAAUUGUUGAAAGGGAAGCGCUUGCGACCAGACUCGCCUCCAGGGUUCAGCCGGCAUUCGUGCCGGUGUACUUCCCUGGGGGCGGGCCAGCGUCGGUUUGGGCGGCCGGUCAAAGGCUCCCGGAAUGUAGUGCCCUCCGGGGCACCUUAUAGCCGGGAGUGCAAUGCGGCCAGCCUGGACCGAGGAACGCGCUUCGGCACGGACGCUGGCAUAAUGGUCGUAAACGACCCGUCUUGAAACACGGACCAAGGAGUCUAACAUCUACGCGAGUGUUCGGGUGUCAAACCCGUACGCGCAGUGAAAGCGAACGGAGGUGGGAGCCCCCUCGUGGGGCGCACCAUCGACCGAUCCUGAUGUCUUCGGAUGGAUUUGAGUAAGAGCGUAAAUGUGGGGACCCGAAAGAUGGUGAACUAUGCCUGAAUAGGGCGAAGCCAGAGGAAACUCUGGUGGAGGCUCGCAGCGGUUCUGACGUGCAAAUCGAUCGUCAAAUUUGGGUAUAGGGGCGAAAGACUAAUC
rnacentral:rRNA from 1 species